rnacentral:lncRNA from 1 species
CCGUACUUCCGUACUUUCGAGAAAGUACGAAAGUACUUCCGUAGUACAACUACGUGUGUGUAGCGAGGGAUACCUGGAGCAGUUCUUGUCGCACGAGGUGGUGUGCGAGGACACGACGUCGAGCGGCGGGAACGUCGAGCUGUUGCGCGGCGGCGACUGAUGAACCGACUGCGCCGAGACGAUUCGCGCGGCGACGGACGGACGAACGAACGAACGAACGAACACCGCGCCAUUGUAGACUAGCUAGUACGAAAGUAGUUCAGAUGAUUAGGGUUUAGGGUUUAGGGUUUAGGGUUUAGGGUUUAGGGUUUAGGGUUUAGGGUUUAGGGUUUAGGGUUUAGGGUUUAGGGUUUAGGGUUUAGGGUUUAGGGUUUAGGGUUUAGGGUUUAGGGUUUAGGGUUUAGG